rnacentral:rRNA from 1 species
UGCAGUCGAGCGGAACGAGUUAWCUGAACCUUCGGGGAACGAUAAYGGCGUCGAGCGGCGGACGGGUGAGUAAUGCCUAGGAAAUUGCCCUGAUGUGGGGGAUAACCAUUGGAAACGAUGGCUAAUACCGCAUGAUGCCUACGGGCCAAAGAGGGGGACCUUCGGGCCUCUCGCGUCAGGAUAUGCCUAGGUGGGAUUAGCUAGUUGGUGAGGUAAGGGCUCACCAAGGCRACGAUCCCUAGCUGGUCUGAGAGGAUGAUCAGCCACACUGGAACUGAGACACGGUCCAGACUCCUACGGGAGGCAGCAGUGGGGAAUAUUGCACAAUGGGCGCAAGCCUGAUGCAGCCAUGCCGCGUGUAUGAAGAAGGCCUUCGGGUUGUAAAGUACUUUCAGUCGUGAGGAAGGCGKYGUCGUUAAUAGCGGCRUYGUUUGACGUUAGCGACAGAAGAAGCACCGGCUAACUCCGUGCCAGCAGCCGCGGUAAUACGGAGGGUGCGAGCGUUAAUCGGAAUUACUGGGCGUAAAGCGCAUGCAGGUGGUUUGUUAAGUCAGAUGUGAAAGCCCGGGGCUCAACCUCGGAAUAGCAUUUGAAACUGGCAGACUAGAGUACUGUAGAGGGGGGGUAGAAUU